rnacentral:lncRNA from 1 species
UGCAUCAAUCUUACCAGAUCAAUCACCAUCCCCAUGAUGAUCUAUCGAUCAGGAUCAAUUUUAAAAUUAACCGUCAAUGACACAUGUCUCAAAUUCUUAACUCUUGAGAAUAUAUGUUGUCAUCUUAUUAACUCUCUAGAUGAUUUAUGGACACAUACACUAUAUGAAUAAAAAUUAACUACCUUAAAUAAUUAGAUCAAGUAUGAAAUUAUGUCUUAGAAAAAAUUAAUGUGUUAGCCUGA